UCCCUGGUGGUCCAGUGGUUGGGACUCUGUACUUUCACUGCCAGGGGCCUGGGUUCAAUCCCUGGUCGAGGAA
rnacentral:tRNA from 1 species